CAGUAGCCGCGGUAAUACGGAGGGUGCAAGCGUUAAUCGGAAUUACUGGGCGUAAAGCGCACGCAGGCGGUCUGACAAGUCAGAUGUGAAAUCCCCGGGCUUAACCUGGGAACUGCAUUUGAAACUGUCAGGCUGGAGUCUUGUAGAGGGGGGUGGAAUUCCAGGUGUAGCGGUGAAAUGCGUAGAGAUCUGGAGGAAUACCGGUGGCGAAGGCGGCCCCCUGGACAAAGACUGACGCUCAGGUGCGAAAGCGUGGGGAGCAAACAGGAUUAGAUACCCGUGUAGUCCCUGUCUCUUUUAC
rnacentral:rRNA from 1 species